UGGGGAAGUAUUGCACAAUGGGCGCAAGCCUGAUGCAGCCAUGCCGCGUGUAUGAAGAAGGCCUCGGGUUGUAAAGUACUUUCAGCGGGGAGGAAGGUGUUGAGGUUAAUAACCUCAGCAAUUGACGUUACCCGCAGAAGAAGCACCGGCUAACUCCGUGCCAGCAGCCGCGGUAAUACGGAGGGUGCAAGCGUUAAAUCGGAAUUACUGGGCGUAAAGCGCACGCAGGCGGUCUGUCAAGUCGGAUGUGAAAUCCCCGGGCUCAACCUGGGAACUGCAUUCGAAACUGGCAGGCUAGAGUCUUGUAGAGGGGGGUAGAAUUCCAGGUGUAGCGGUGAAAUGCGUAGAGAUCUGGAGGAAUACCGGUGGCGAAGGCGGCCCCCUGGACAAAGACUGACGCUCAGGUGCGAAAGCGUGGGGGAGCAAACA
rnacentral:rRNA from 1 species